UACGGAGGAUGCAAGCGUUAUCCGGAAUGAUUGGGCGUAAAGCGUCCGCAGGUGGCAAUGUAAGUCUGCUGUCAAAGCGUCUGGCUCAACCAGAUAAAGGCAGUGGAAACUACAUAGCUAGAGUAAGGUAGGGGUAGAGGGAAUUCCUGGUGUAGCGGUGAAAUGCGUAGAGGUCAGGAAGAACACCGGUGGCGAAAGCGCUCUGCUGGACCUUAACUGACACUGAGGGACGAAAGCUAGGGGAGCGAAUGGG
rnacentral:rRNA from 1 species